rnacentral:rRNA from 1 species
CUCUGGUGUUCCGGUUGUCACGCCAGUGGCAUUGCCGGGUAGCUAUGUUCGGAAAAGAUAACCGCUGAAAGCAUCUAAGCGGGAAACUUGCCUCAAGAUGAGAUCUCUGGUGUUCCGGUUGUCACGCCAGUGGCAUUGCCGGGUAGCUAUGUUCGGAAAAGAUAACCGCUGAAAGCAUCUAAGCGGGAAACUUGCCUCAAGAUGAGAUCUCACUGGGAACUUGAUUCCCCUGAAGGGCCGUCGAAGACUACGACGUUGAUAGGCUGGGUGUGUAAGCGUUGUGAGGCGUUGAGCUAACCAGUACUAAUUGCCCGUGAGGCUUGACCAU